rnacentral:ncRNA from 1 species
GAUAGAGGUGCAUAGCGAGACUAUAAGAUAAAUUCCGGAUUAUAGUCUGAGCGUAGUAAGCGAUGAAAUGCUUCGGGGAGUUGAAAAUAAGCAUAGAUCCGGAGAUUCUCGAAUAGGUCAACCUUUCGAACUGCUGCUGAAUCCAUGGGAAGAUAAGAGACAACCUAGCGAACUGAAACAUCUUAAUAGCCGGAGGAAAAGAAAGCAAAAGCGAUUCCCGUAGUAGCAGAGAGUGAAAUGGGCGCAGCCUAAACCGUGAAAACGGGGUUGUGGGAGAGCAAUAAAAGCGUCGUGCUGCUAGGCGAAGC